rnacentral:rRNA from 1 species
UACGUAGGGUCCGAGCGUUGUCCGGAGUUACUGGGCGUAAAGCGCGCGCAGGCGGCGGUGCUGGCCCGGCGUGAAAGCCCCCCGGCUCAACCCGGGGGAGGGUCGUCGGGGACCGCACCGCUUGAGGGCGGUAGGGGCUGGUGGAAUGCCUGGUGUAGUGGUGAAAUGCGUAGAGAUCAGGCGGAACACCCGUGGCGAAGGCGGCCAGCUGGGCCGUCCCUGACGCUGAGGCGCGAAGGCGUGGGGGAGCGAACGGG